GCAACUAAAUAGAUCUCAAAUCUCACUUUCAGGCUUCCUGCGAACAGACGCCUCGCGGUCUGACAGGUGUUUCCAUCUGGAAAAAGCCCACAGAAGACCUGGUUUCUGCUCAAGAUGAUCCCAUAGGUCCCUGACUGACCCGGUUUCAUGCCUGGUGGAAGGAACUGAAGCAGAGAUGGGCAUUGCCAGGUCCCUGACUCGCCAUGUUAAUGUCUGGUGGAAGGAUCUGAAGCAGAGAUGUGCGUUACCAGGCUGACUGUCUCGGUGGUGAUGCUGUCCGGAGGUGGCGACCAAAGCUGGUCGACCGAACAAGGAGCCGCGCCGAGUUUGUCGUCCAUCGAUGCUGCCGGCAGGAUUUUCUUGAUUGAAAACCCAACAGACGGGCGGAAGACGACUUGAGCAAAAACGUUAAAUCAACAGCUUUGAUUGUGUCCCGUAGCACUUUACCACGUUAUGUAACCAAAGUGAAGCUCAACUGUUUAAAAAGAAAUAAAGGACGAAUGUUGCAAAUCA